GCCCUUAUAGCGUAGUGGUCGAGCGUUGGCUUUGGAAGUCACAGAUCGGUGGUUUGAUUCCACCUGGGCGCA
rfam:Phytophthora infestans T30-4 supercont1.1 genomic scaffold, whole genome shotgun sequence.